AGUUUGAUCAUGGCUCAGAACGAACGCUGGCGGCAGGCCUAACACAUGCAAGUCGAGCGCGCCUUCGGGUGAGCGGCGGACGGGUUAGUAACGCGUGGGAACGUGCCCUUCUCUACGGAAUAGCCUCUGGAAACGGAGAGUAAUACCGUAUACGCCCUUUGGGGGAAAGAUUCAUCGGAGAAGGAUCGGCCCGCGUUAGAUUAGGUAGUUGGUGGGGUAACGGCCUACCAAGCCUACGAUCUAUAGCUGGUUUUAGAGGAUGAUCAGCAACACUGGGACUGAGACACGGCCCAGACUCCUACGGGAGGCAGCAGUGGGGAAUCUUAGACAAUGGGGGCAACCCUGAUCUAGCCAUGCCGCGUGAGUGAUGAAGGCCUUAGGGUCGUAAAGCUCUUUCGCCUGUGAUGAUAAUGACAGUAGCAGGUAAAGAAACCCCGGCUAACUCCGUGCCAGCAGCCGCGGUAAUACGGAGGGGGUUAGCGUUGUUCGGAAUUACUGGGCGUAAAGCGCGCGUAGGCGGAUUAGAAAGUUGGGGGUGAAAUCCCGGGGCUCAACCUCGGAACUGCCUCCAAAACUGCUAGUCUAGAGUUCGAGAGAGGUGAGUGGAAUUCCGAGUGUAGAGGUGAAAUUCGUAGAUAUUCGGAGGAACACCAGUGGCGAAGGCGGCUCACUGGCUCGAUACUGACGCUGAGGUGCGAGAGUGUGGGGAGCAAACAGGAUUAGAUACCCUGGUAGUCCACACCGUAAACGAUGAAUGCCAGUCGUCGGGUAGUAUACUAUUCGGUGACACACCUAACGGAUUAAGCAUUCCGCCUGGGGAG
rnacentral:rRNA from 1 species